rnacentral:pre_miRNA from 1 species
AGACAAAUAGCUGGGUCAAAUGGUGGUUCCAUUCCCAGAUUUCCAAGGAAUCUCCAUACUGCUUUCCAUAUUGGCUGCACCAAUUUGCAGUCCCACAAGCAGU